rnacentral:rRNA from 1 species
GAUGAACGCUAGCGGCAGGCCUAACACAUGCAAGUCGAGGGGUAGUUACUUUCGGGUAAUGAGACCGGCGCACGGGUGCGUAACGCGUAUGCAAUCUACCUUUUACAGGGGAAUAGCCCGAGAGAAAUUUGGAUUAAUGCCCCAUAGUAUGUAUGAAUCGCAUGGUUUAUACAUUAAAGUUCCAACGGUAAAAGAUGAGCACGCGUCCCAUUAGUUAGUUGGUAAGGUAACGGCUUACCAAGACGAUGGAAUGGUAGGGGUCCUGAGAGGGAGAUCCCCACCACGUGUAGUGAGACACGGACCGACG